rnacentral:lncRNA from 1 species
AUUAAGUUACAUCCAAUCGUGCUUGGGGAUUGAUAGGAACUGGCAAGUGUGACCUCUAGUGGCAGUGGGUACACGUUUACCAGAAAUAGGUGGAGGGGCACUGGAAAGAGUCCAGGAAUGCUGCCACCCCCUGAGCAUUCAAUUGAAUGACAGUCAGGCCUGAACAAAAGAUUGUCAGAGAAGGGAACUGGCUUAAGGAUUCUGUACAACAUGGAGGGGAGAAGAGCGGUUGGCUCCUAACCUGUAGCUUUUUCUUCAGUGGUGAUGUCGUUUUCUUUGUGUAUUGACAACCUUCUGGUGGGUGCAGAUACCUGGGAACAAGCCCCAGGAUACAAAGAACCAAAGUGUCUGUCUUCUCCCUGGACGUUCUUACCUAAGGCUCUCAGCGCCACUCCCAAUGCUAUUUAGUGUGUGAAAUAAGGCUUUUCUUCUUCUUCUUCCCAAAGAGUGCCGUCCUCUCGUGCCCCUUGAUAACGCCUUACUAUCUCGCUGUAUUGCUUAUAACGAUACUUGAAGUAAAGUAUAUAAAAAUGAGGGUUUACUGGAAAAUAAAUAAUUGUGU